AUCCAAAUGAAAGCAUCACCACAUCCACACAACCAUACAAAGAAACACAAACAUGCCUGGAUUUGCACACCACUACACCAGUAGCACAUUCAGAAUCUCCGUCUACCACACCAAGCCUAACCUCCAGAGAGUCAAGUCCUGAUGUCCUCAAACUCAGUAACAGGUAACAACUUCAGCCUUAUUUUAAACCAUGUCCGGUACACAUUUAGCAUCCUUUGGCAAGGCUAAAAAUGAACCAGAAUGGCAUCUGCCUCCAAAAAUGUUUCAGAUGCCUCAUUUAACUCACUAAAAAUAAGGUUAAAUCAGGUUCUUUAAGACAUCUAAAACAGUUUGCUUGGUUCUGAGCUGAGAAACACUGAUCUAAAACCAGUUGACUAGGUUUUAACCAUUCAUAGAGUAUCCCAGCACUUUAUUUUAAAUGCAUUCGUCUCAUUCACUGAUUAAAAAAGGUUCCAUGAAUUUAACUGUGUAGGCAAAGGAAACAUCCACAUUUUCAAUGAUGGGUUACUCUAGGACUCGAUAACCACUGAUUUAUAUUUGUUUGAUGCCUUUGAAUAAUUUUAAAGCAGACCAUUUUUUUACAACAAUUGUCUCUCUCUCACUUCCUCAGUGUCUGCACACACAAUUUGCUGUGGGUGGUCUGGUCAUAGCAGCGAUAUUAUUUUUAGUUGGAUUGGUCACUGUUCAUCAGAGCAGAAACAGAGUCAAGACAUCAGAAAUUUUCUUAUGUUGUGCAACAGCAACGCCUGACAAAGUUGAAGAGAACAGCACAGAGAUGAAAUCUACAGAUGAGACUGAAGUCAAGAAAAGCCAGUCAGAUUCAGUCUAUCAGAAUCUAAACCUCAGCACGGUCCAAUCAAAUGAAGUAUAUGGAAAUCUCGGAUUGCUGAAUCAUUUAGUAAUAUUCAGAGUACCAGUCUCUAGACUAACAAUCCCAGAUCUCAAGUACAUUUAAUUCAACAAGCCUGUAAAAUACAAGUUUAUUAUGUACAGAGAAUCAAUAUGGGCCAACAUUUCUAAAGAAUGCUUUCAGCACCUUGUUGAAUCAAUGCCACGUAGAAUUAAGGCAGUUCUGAAGGCGAAUGGGGGUCAAACACAGUAUUAGUAUGGUGUUCCUAAUAAUCCUUUAGGUGAGUGUAUAUAUAGAGAGAGAGAGAGAGAGAGAGAGAGCUUGACAUUAAGCCUUGUCGUUAACUUUUCCAAGUAAAAGUUGCUUUUCUGGAAUACAUAGGAUUUUUGUGUUGCAAAUAUAAUUUAUCCUGAAGCAAUAUUCUCAUCGAUGUUCUAUCAGCUAUGACAUUUAAAUCUGCAUAUUUGUAAUAAUUAUCUCAGGGCAUUUUUUAUUUUAUUUUUUACAUUUAUAAUUGCCAUCUUUUUUUUCUCUAAACUUAUUAAAUGUGUGCUUCAUCUAUUAUUUUAAAUUCUUAAAUUUGUAUGUUUUUUAAAAAAUUAUUUAAUACAUUUCGGAAAUAAUAUUUUUAAUGAUACUUUUAAACAUUAAAAUAAACCACCAGUAGGUGGCGGCA
ensembl:lncRNA